rnacentral:tRNA from 1 species
UCGGUCGGCAUCAGGGGCGGGGGGACCGGCAGCGCGUCCGCCCCGCGCGGCGGCGGCUCCCGGUUGUCGGCGUCGAGGUUCCACCGCCCGCCGGCCGGU